CCUACGGGUGGCAGCAGUGGGGAAUAUUGGACAAUGGGCGAAAGCCUGAUCCAGCCAUGCCGCGUGUGUGAAGAAGGCCUUCGGGUUGUAAAGCACUUUCAGUGGGGAAGAAAGCCUUGGGGCUAAUACCCUCGAGGAAGGACAUCACCCACAGAAGAAGCACCGGCUAACUCCGUGCCAGCAGCCGCGGUAAUACGGAGGGUGCGAGCGUUAAUCGGAAUUACUGGGCGUAAAGCGCGCGUAGGCGGUCUGAUAAGCCGGUUGUGAAAGCCCCGGGCUCAACCUGGGAAUGGCAUCCGGAACUGUCAGGCUAGAGUGCAGGAGAGGAAGGUAGAAUUCCCGGUGUAGCGGUGAAAUGCGUAGAGAUCGGGAGGAAUACCAGUGGCGAAGGCGGCCUUCUGGACUGACACUGACGCUGAGGUGCGAAAGCGUGGGUAGCAAACAGGAUUAGAUACCCCGGUAGUC
rnacentral:rRNA from 1 species